rnacentral:rRNA from 1 species
AUGUUUUUUAUCUACACUCCCAGUAAAGGCACAAGUUAUGUUGGGACAAUAAGCACGUACUUUUACAGAAAGAACACAGUUUACCAUAACCAUCCAUUAAAUCUACACUCCCAGUAUGAUGAAUGGGUGCAAAAAAGUGUGGAUUUUUUCUUGCAGUUCCUAAUUAUGUUUUAUUUUUCUCGCAGUUCCUCUAUCUACCCAAUGGCAUACCUUAGUGCCAAAUGGGCAAAAUUAAUAAUCAUAAUCAAGCAUGAAAGGAGCUACUCAAGGGCACACUUUACUGCCUAUUGGGGAAUACUAAUACUCCCUCUAUUCCUAAAUGGAGUAAUCAUCAGCAAGUAUGGAGCUAUUUUUUGGUAA